AGUCAGGGACACAUUCCAGCUGGUUUCUAUAAAAAAUAAAUCAACACAAGCCAUCAUUUAUGAUGAUGAGUGGAACUCAUUUCAUUAGUCUGUAAUAUACCUGUUAAUUGGCCCAUGAGCCCCUUGAGGGCAGGAGCACUAUAACUAAGCGUUCUUGGUCCACUACCAGAAUGCACGAGGUGCUCAAGGAAUGUCGCUGAUAGAGAAGUGGACAGAGAUAAGCACCCAAACAUGUAUACUCCUGGAUCAUAUACUGCAUGCCCAAAGAAGAUACAAAGGCUCUCAACAGCAGGAAAGCAUACAUACGAUGGGAUGACUGAAGGAGAGAUGUGGAAAGACUUAAUGGAAGAAGUGGCAUUUUAAACAAACCUUUGAAGAUGCCAACAGAUAUUACUUAGUCUCUCUUGGCCUCAAUGUACCUACUGAUCAGUCGAUUGAGACGACAAGGCAGAAUGAAGUGAGGGCUGUAAGAGAAAUGCAGAUACGGCUACGCUGGCUGAGUGAAAGAAGCACUUUGUCCGGAAUGGAUCAAGGCAAGCUCCCCAAGAAACAGGGCAUGUGAGUUAGAAUUUGAAGAAUGUGGGACAAUGACCUGAAGAGAGGAGGACAUUCUAAGAAAGAGGGGACAACAUGAGUGAGAACACAAAGGCAAAGAAAGACAUGGCAUGGAACAUGUGGGAAUUAUAACAAGCAGUUUGGGGAAACGGAGCAGAGAGUGGUAAGAAACAGGCUGGAGAAAACGAAAUCAUGUCCAGAAGACUGUGCCUUUACCCUGGAGGUAUAGGGGGAUCACUGAAGAAUUAGUAAGUAAGUACAAUGUCAGUUUUGUAAUUUAAAAAGUUCACUCUGUGGCUACACUGAGGUCUGGUUGAGAUGAUUAAUUAGUAAAAGGAAGACUAAUCAGGAAGCUGUUACAGAAUUUCAGACAAGAGAUGAUAUAGGCCUAAGUGAGUGGUGAUACAUGUGGAAGGGAGGGAGGGACUUCAGAAGUAUUUAGAUUUCUUGUGCCUCAAAACUACCAAAUUAUCCACAUAUGCCUUUUAAAUAUUAGCAAUCAAACAAGCACCACCUUUAUGAAGCACACUCACCUGGAAAGUUCUAAAGAUGUGAGAAGACUGGGUACUGGAUAGACAUUCACUGCUGUCAGCCCUAAUUGAAAAACAAAAGGGCGUCAGUAACGUUGUCUAAAGAAGAAAGUAACUGAAAAUAAAUAAGGAAAAAGUGACAGCGUCAGAAAGAAAACAGGCCACCUACUGACAUGAACUAAAGACAAAAGCCACUGGGUAACGCACAUGAAUUGCGUGGUCCCAAUUUGAAGACCAAAUACAACAAAUGAAGGAUCGUGUGUACUGCACUGGACUCACGCCAGACCAGGCAGCUGUUAACAGUAACUACUUAAUUUUUUUAAAAAUUGAUAACACGAUUUUCACUGGCAAUAUUUUAACUUUCAACUACAGUACAACAUAGAUACAGAAAAGGGCAACAAUCUUAUGUGCACAGAUCGCUACAUUUUUACACACAGCACACACCAGUGUAGCCAGUGCCCACUUAGGAAGCGGAUCAUUACCAGCUCCCAGGAGCUUCCUCUCAUCCGCCUUCCAGUCUCUGCCCCUCGCCGCCCUCGCUCCCUAUACCACAGGCUACUUUUGCUUAUUUACAUAAAUUACACAUACAGUCUGUAAAGUUUCUGAUCUGGCUUCAUUCACUCCUUAUUGCACUUGUGGGAUCUGUUCACAUUACUGCAUGUGGGUGUAGUUCAUUCUUUCUCCCAGCAGUACGAAACUGUUUAUAUGACUGUA